CGCAAACUUUUUUUUCGAUAUGAACUCUAAAAAAAAAUAACGCUGUUAUCCCUAAGGUAAUUUAAUCUUAUAAUCAUAAAAAAUAUGGAUCAUUUAUUCAUAAAUUAAUGUUUUAAUAUAAAAAAAGUUCAUUAAAUUUUUCGAUUGCCCCAAUCAAAUAUUUCUAUAAAUAUUUAAUUUUAAAAUUCUUAAAUUUUUAAAUAUAUAUAUAUAUAUAAAAUUCUAUAGGGUCUUCUCGUCUUUUAAAAUUAUUUAAGCUUUUUUACUUAAAAAUAAAAUUCUAAUAAAAAUUAAAUUGAGACAGUCUUUCCCUCGUCAAACCUUUCAUACCAGUUCUCAAUUAAAAAACUAAUUAUUAUGCUACCUUUGCACGGUCAAAAUACCGCAGCCAUUUAAAUAUAAUUAUUCAUAGGGCAGGCCAGACUUUAAAUUAUAAUCAAAAAGACAU
rnacentral:rRNA from 1 species